CUCUGAAAAUGGACAAGUUUUUUACAACUUGACCUACUUUCACUUAGCUAACUACGGUGCAGUAAAGUCAAUCAGAUGUCCGUGAUCUGCGUAACGACAGCACAGUGAGAUGUUUGCCUUCAACAGAGCGACAGUAAUAACCUAAUAUACCAUCAUUACUGAGAUUAAAAUACAUUCUUGGUUAUGUUUGCACUGAAAAACGCAUUCAAUAAACAGAAACAUAACUUGUGCACAUGAACUGAUGCGCAAUAUUAGCUCACACAUAAAAUAGCACCCUCGUGAAUUAACCUACUGUUUCUAACGUACAUUCAUAAAUCCUGUAUAACAUCGUCCCGUACCUACAGGACAUCAGACUUACUUAUUGAUGCACGCACACAGUAGUGUCGACAAACUUAGUCCAAUGAGGGGAGAAAGGAAAGUGUGAUAGCGUUCCACGUUAAAGCUUUUUUCUCUCUCGCUCGAGACCGCUGUGUCCAACGUUACUAGCAGGUAGAGAGAGUAGAGCAGAUAGAGGGGAAAAAAGUAGCUUCCACUUAAGGGGCCCAUCUUGC